UGUUGGUGAGGUCAUGGCUCACCAGGCUAUGACGCCUAACUGGUUUGAGAGGAUGAUCAGUCACACUGGAACUGAGACACGGUCCAGACUCCUACGGGAGGCAGCAGUGGGGAAUAUUGCACAAUGGACGUAAGUCUGAUGCAGCAACGCCUGCGUGGAGGAUGACACAUUUCGGUGCGUAAACUCCUUUUAUAUAGGAAGAUAAUGACGGUACUAUAUGAAUAAGCACCGGCUAACUCCGUGCCAGCAGCCGCGGUAAUACGGAGGGUGCAAGCGUUACUCGGAAUCACUGGGCGUAAAGAGCGUGUAGGCGGGUAUAUAAGUCAGAAGUGAAAUCCAAUAGCUCAACUAUUGAACUGCUUUUGAAACUGUAUACCUAGAAUGUGGGAGAGGUAGAUGGAAUUUCUGGUGUAGGGGUAAAAUCCGUAGAGAUCAGAAGGAAUACCGAUUGCGAAGGCGAUCUACUGGAACAUUAUUGACGCUGAGACGCGAAAGCGUGGGGAGCAAACAGGAUUAGAUACCCUGGUAGUCCACGCCCUAAACGAUGUACACUAGUUGUUGUGAGGCUCGACCUUGCAGUAAUGCAGUUAACACAUUAAGUGUACCGCCUGGGGAGUACGGUCGCAAGAUUAAAACUCAAAGGUAUAGACGGGGACCCGCACAAGCGGUGGAGCAUGUGGUUUAAUUCGACGAUACACGAAGAACCUUACCUGGACUUGACAUAGUAAGUACUUUCUAGAGAUAGAUUGGUGUCUGCUUGCAGAAACUUAUAUACAGGUGCUGCACGGCUGUCGUCAGCUCGUGUCGUGAGAUGUUGGGUUAAGUCCCGCAACGAGCGCAACCCUCGUCCUUAGUUGCUAACAGUUCGGCUGAGAACUCUAAGGAGACUGCCUACGCAAGUAGGAGGAAGGUGAGGACGACGUCAAGUCAUCAUGGCCCUUACGUCCAGGGCUACACACGUGCUACAAUGGGGUAUACAAAGAGCAGCAAUACGGUGACGUGGAGCAAAUCUCAAAAAUAUCUCCCAGUUCGGAUUGUAGUCUGCAACUCGACUACAUGAAGUUGGAAUCGCUAGUAAUCGUAGAUCAGCUAUGCUACGGUGAAUACGUUCCCGGGUCUUGUACUCACCGCCCGUCACACCAUGGGAGUUGAACUCAUUCGAAGCGGGGAUGCUAAAGUAGCUACCUUCCACAGUGA
rnacentral:rRNA from 1 species